GGAUGAUCUUGGAGAUCUUUUCCAUGCUUGCUAAUUUUAUGUUUCCAUGAAAGGCAUCUGCUGGUGAGAGCUUUGCUGGGUGAGCAUCACUCUGCUGGACAGCAGGCAGCUGUUGUCUGUGCAGACAGCCACAUCCAUGGCGAGUGGAGGCUUUUAACCUUAACCUUGUCUUUCAUGUCUCAUGUGCAGUAAGGCAUGUUGUUAUAAAGCACCAUCGUAGGGGCAACCUUGAUUUCUGCAGCCAUCAGAGCUCUCCCCCAUGCUUCUCCCUGUGGUGUGAGACCAUAUUGGAGGCCAUGCAGAAGCCUGGUCAUAACCAUGGAACCACAGAAGCGUUACCCAGACAGAAGGAGCCUUUGUCACCUGGACUUCCUACCAAUGACACAGGCAGUGGAAGUCAGCAUCCCAAGCAUCCAUGAAACCCCUGCACAGGACUGG